UUCAUUGGAUAACAUUUAACAAUAAUUUUUUUUAUAAAAAAGAUAACAAAUUAAAAUGUAACCAAAUGCAUCAACCCAAAGUAGAGUUCAACAAAAAAAUUCUUCAACCUAAAUUAGAUGUGCAACAAAGAAUUAAAAAUUCACCAAAAGAAAGAAGAGAGAUAGAGAGUAUUCUUUCACCUGUUUGUGUGGGCACAAUAUGGAUAGAAUGGAAGAGAGAAAAGCAACUAUUUAGAGUAAAAAAAAGGGGAAGAAGAAGAGUCAAAAUAAAAGGAAUAUGAAGGGAUGGAAGAAUUGUAAGGUUAAGGUAUAAAGUAGUGGGGAGAUAAAAAGUUAAAAGUGGGGGAAAUGUUGGAGGAAGAGUAAUGGUAAGGUCAUAAAUUAAUAAGGAGAAAAAUAAUUAGAAAUGACAGAGAGAAAAUGUUAGAAAUAAGUGGAUGAUGUGGUCGCUGAUAUAGCUCAAUAAAAAUAUAGUAAUAAUAAAUGCUACGCUUCAGUUUUUAGAUAUAUAUAGAUUUGUAGUGUUCACUAAUUAUAGUAUGUUAUAAUUAGUUUUCACUAAUUUUUAUAUGGUGUUGGUCUUGCUUGCAGUGGCUGAAGCUGAAUGGCAAGAGUUCACAUUUAUGAUCCAGCUUUAAUGAUUGCCAUUGAAAAUGUUAAUGCAAACACUCUUUUAGUCAAUCCCAGAUAAUCUCUGCAAUUGUACUAACAGCUGCUCAAACUUUAUGUGUACAAAAGAAACCCUAUGCACACCCUUUCAAUAUACAAUUCAACCUGUCUCCAUGCAUCUAACAUUUUAUUCCAAAUCUGGAUAAACGUGCGAAGCUAUGUGAUGGGCUGCUCCAGUUACAGAAAUAAGAAAGCAGUUAGACGCAUAUGAUAUCAAAGAAACAUUUCAAUAUGGAUCCUGGCCUAUGCUCAUAUUUGUGUGUUCUUGUACUCAGUCCUGAAUGCCAACUUUCUAUUGCCAUCAUUUGCUCAAAGCAGACAUAAAUUCGAUGAACAAUCAUUUGCUCUGGCACAAGGUAGCAUAUAUGUAUAUAGAGUUAUAUAUAACUCCAAAACUGUGGUAACAAGAUUACAACUAAAUGCCAAUAUAUGAAUGUGGAAUCUCCAAGCAAUCAAUCCAA